AUGGUGUCAUUAUUGUAUUCAUUUAUAGAUGAAGAAUUUCAAGGAGACCAACUAACUUGGACCCACAGGCACAUAGCAAGGCAGCAAUGGAGCAGGGACUCAAAACCCUUCCAUCCAGCCCGGGGGCCUGCACUCCUCACCGCCACCCACAGGGCCUUAAUUUGGAAGGAAGGAAGUGGCUGUGCCUCUCCCUGGAAGACACAAGGAGCUUCUGCAGUCUCGACACAUUUCUUAUCCUUGGGUUACAGGGAUCUUCAAGGACUCAGUAAUUUUGAAGUUUGCUCCUUCCUUCAUGCUGGCCACAUUUCAAGUGGCGUAUGGGUACCGUACUGGACAGCUUGGCCUGGAGUCAUCGUGGCAGCCACAGAAGCAGAAGCAUGUCUGACUGUGUGAUGGAGCCAGCUUGCUUCUUCACAGUAAGCACCUGUCUGCCAGCUUCUGUUCCUAUGUUACUGUUCGGUUUGACUGUUACAAGAGGGCAGGGUCUCAGUCUAACCCCCCCCCCGCCCCGCCCUGCUAACACAUGCUGAAGUGCAGAAACUAUGAGUAAGCAGAGCGGAGAACAGAACAGGGCGGCAGACAGACCAAGGGAUGCUGGGAAGAGGGCCGGUCCCCAGGGUUGCCUUGGAUCCUUCUAGUUUUCCAGUUCCUGAUCCAUUUCCAGCUCCAGUGCACAGGCGGCCCUGCAACAAGCCUUCCACAACUGCAGGGACGUGAGUGUGUCCCUUCUCCUUGCAGCUCGGAGCCAGACCCAACAACCCCCUCCUUCUCCUGUCUGCACUGCCCAGUCUCCAGGGCUGCUACACCUGCAGCAUUGCCAGACUGGCAAAUAGCGGCUCUUCGUGGAAGGAAGCUUCCACUCCAUAUUCCCAAGAAUGUCAAGGAGAGGAGGAGAAAAGGCCAGUUUCUGGGUGGGCAGAUGUAGAACCUGAAGGCACACGAUCUGCGUGUCGCUGCUGGGAGACGGCGCUCUGGGAGACAGCAGCCAUGCUCUGGGCUUCUUUACAGCGAGAGCUUUUCCCUGAUGGGAGCUUAGAAGACUUAGGGGAAUUGCCUUCCGCAGAAGUGAGCCUUUAUUUUAUUUUAUUUUAUUUUUGACAGGCAGAGUGGACAGUGAGAGAGAGAGACAGAGAGAAAGGUCUUCCUUUUGCCGUUGGUUCACACUCCAAUGGCUGCCGCGCUGAUCUGAAGCCAGGAGCCAGGUGCUUUUCCUGGUCUCCCAUGCGGGUGCAGGGCCCAAGCACUUGGGCCAUCCUCCAGUGCACUCCCGGGCCACAGCAGAGAGCUGGCCUGGAAGAGGGGCAACCGGGACAGAAUCUGGUGCCCCGACCGGGACUAGAACCCGGUGUGCCGGCACCACAAGGCGGAGGAUUAGCCUACUGAGCCACAGUGCCGGCCAGAAGUGAGCCUUAAAACACAAUCAUGUGGGCCCGGCGCCGUGGCUCACUUGGUUAAUCCUCCACCUGCGGCGUCAGCAUCCCAUAUGGGUGCCGGGUUCUAGUCCUGGCUGCUCCUCAUCCAGUCCAGCUCUCUGCUGUGGCCCGGGAGGGCAGUGGAGGAUGGCCCAAGUGCUUGGGCCCUACACCCGCAUGGGAGACCAGGAAGAAGCACCUGGCUCCUGGCUUCGGAUCAGUGCAGCACCGGCCAUUACGGCCAUUUGUGGGAUGAACCAACGGAAGGAAGACCUUUCUCUGUCUCUCUCUCUCUCUCUCUCUCUCUCUCACUGUCUAUAACUCUACCUGUCAAAUUAAAAAUAAUAAUAAUAAAAAAGAACACGCUCACA
rnacentral:lncRNA from 1 species